ACUACGGGCGGCAGCAGUGAGGAAUAUUGGUCAAUGGACGCAAGUCUGAACCAGCCAUGCCGCGUGCAGGAAGACGGCUCUCUGAGUUGUAAACUGCUUUUGUAGGAGGGUAAACUCAGAUACGCGUAUCUUUCUGAACGUAUCGUACGAAUAAGGAUCGGCUAACUCCGUGCCAGCAGCCGCGGUAAUACGGAGGAUUCAAGCGUUGUCCGGGUUUGUUGGGUUUAAAGGGUGCGUAGGCGGUCGGGUAAGUUAGAGGUGAAAUCCCGAGGCUCAACUUCGGAAUUGCCUCUGAUACUGGUAGGCUAGAGAGUAGUUGCGGUAGGCGGAAUGUAUGGUGUAGCGGUGAAAUGCUUAGAGAUAAUACAGAACACCGAAUGCGAAGGCAGCUUACCAAGCUACGUCUGACGUUGAGGCACGAAAGCGUGGGGAGCAAACAGGAUUAGAUACCCGUGUAGUC
rnacentral:rRNA from 1 species